rnacentral:rRNA from 1 species
AUUGAACGCUGGCGGCAGGCCUAACACAUGCAAGUCGAGCGGCAGCGGGAAAGUAGCUUGCUACUUUUGCCGGCGAGCGGCGGACGGGUGGGUAAUGCCUGGGAAAUUGCCCAGUCGAGGGGGAUAACAGUUGGAAACGACUGCUAAUACCGCAUACGCCCUACGGGGGAAAGCAGGGGACCUUCGGGCCUUGCGCGAUUGGAUAUGCCCAGGUGGGAUUAGCUAGUUGGUGAGGUAAUGGCUCACCAAGGCGACGAUCCCUAGCUGGUCUGAGAGGAUGAUCAGCCACACUGGAACUGAGACACGGUCCAGACUCCUACGGGAGGCAGCAGUGGGGAAUAUUGCACAAUGGGGGAAACCCUGAUGCAGCCAUGCCGCGUGUGUGAAGAAGGCCUUCGGGUUGUAAAGCACAUUCAGCGAGGAGGAAAGGUCAGUAGCUAAUACCUGCUGGCUGUGACGUUACUCGCAGAAGAAGCACCGGCUAACUCCGUGCCAGCAGCCGCGGUAACAC